rnacentral:lncRNA from 1 species
GGCGGGGCCUCGGACCCCGCCCUCCGCCUUCCCCGGGAUUCCGUGCUGUGCGGGCCGGGCGCUGGCGUUGGAUUGAGAUUCAUGGACUAUCUGCCAUGCCCCAAACACCAGGCAGAGUGCUAAGGGGACACAAAGAUGAAUAAGAUGUGACCCCUGCUCUCUAGGAUCCUGUCGCAUAGAUGAAGAGAUAGAACAUAUCCAUAAAAAGAUAACUAAUGACCGACAUUGCGUGCUGCCGACACGUGUUAUGGUCCUGCGGGCUACAGAAAUUCAGAGGAGGAAGACAGAUGACUGCAGUGUGGCAGCUGCUCCUCGGGCACUUACAGGAGCUUGUUAGGAUGAGGACAGAAGACUUCAUAGCACAGAGGGAACUGUGACACCAGCUUUAUAUCACACGAUAGAAAAUACCCAGAAAUAAGGACGAUGAAGACAGUGACGCAAAGACGGACAGCAUUGUUGGAGUAGCUGUCUUCCAUUGCUAAUGUUCUGAUGUGAUCAUCGUAUACCUCCCACUUGCCUGUAAUCCUGGAGCUUCCCUGGUUGUUUCCCCUUGCAGUCUGAUUCUUGAGCGUUCAUUAUAUUCUGCAGGCCACCCCAUAUGCUUCCAAUAAAGUCCCUUUGGACUUAAGUUAGAGUCAGUUUCAGUGGCAUGCCA